CGGGCAUUAACAACGAAGAGAGAAAAUAGAAAUGACUAUUAAAGAAAGAAAAAACUAUGAUACUUAUCUGGUUUCUCAGUGCAGUAUUUAUCUCCAAACGCGAUGAGUGAAACAUUUUAUCAAACAUGUUUGGUGCACAAAUUUCUUCAUAAAUUAUUCAUUUCCAUUUUACAUGAAUAUGUCGAAGAGAUGAUUAUUAAAAAUUAGGAAAACAAAAAAUUAACAUAUUUUGAUUGAUACUCACGUAGAUGAAGCCAUGGUACUCACCUACAUUUUAAAAAUAAGAAGCAAUCAUUAACAAUGAAGAGAGAAAAUAGAAGUGAUCAUUAACAUUAAGGAAAGAAAAAGUUAUGAUACUUAUCUGGUUUCUUGGUGUAGUAUUUAUCUCUAAACGUAAUGAGUGAAGCAUUUUAUCAAACAGGUUUAUACAUAAAUUUCUUCAUAAAUUCUUCUUUUCCAUGUUACAUGAAUAUGCAGAAGAGAUGAUUAUUAAGAAUUAGGAAAACAUAAAAUAACAUAGUUUGAUUGAUACUUAUGUAGAUGAAAGUCAUGGUACUCACCUG
rnacentral:lncRNA from 1 species